GACAGAGCGCGUGAGUGUUAUUCGUUGUGAUUGGGUGUAAAGGGUACGUAGGCAAGGAGCGUCGGUUUAAACCUAAAUCGCGGGGUAUUCCCUUGCGAAGGUAUUUAAAAAAAAGCUCACUAGCAUUGAAGAUGGGUUGGGUUAAUUUUUGGUGUAGGGGUUUUAUCCCACAAUAUCAGAAGGAAUGUCAGCAAGCGGAGGCUCCUUUCUAGCUUCAAUUGUCGCUAAGGUACGGAAGCUUGGGGAUCAAACAGA
rnacentral:rRNA from 1 species